GAGUUUGAUCCUGGCUCAGGACGAACGCUGGCGGUAUGCUUAACACAUGCAAGUCGAACGAGACAAGAUGGAAGGAUCCUUCGGGUGACGGAAAUCUUAGAAAGUGGCGAACGGGUGAGUAACGCGUGGGUAACCUGCCCUAUGGAAAGGAAUAGCCUCGGGAAACUGGGAGUAAUGCCUUAUAAUACAUGUUUGUCGCAUGGCAGAUAUAUUAAACGCUCCGGUGCCAUAGGAUGGACCCGCGUCCCAUUAGCUAGUUGGUGAGAUAACAGCCCACCAAGGCGACGAUGGGUAACCGGUCUGAGAGGGCGAACGGUCACACUGGAACUGAGACAC
rnacentral:rRNA from 1 species